rnacentral:pre_miRNA from 1 species
AAAGUACUCCCUCUGUCCCAAAAUUCUUGUCUUGGAUUUGUCUAGAUACGGAUGUAUCAAGUCAAAUUUUAGUAUUAGAUACAUCUGUAUCUAGACAAAUCUAAGACAAGAAAUUUGGGACAGAGGGAGUAGUUG